rnacentral:rRNA from 1 species
UACGGAGGGUGCAAACGUUGCUCGGAAUCAUUGGGCGUAAAGCGCACGUAGGCGGACUGCUAAGUCGGACGUGAAAUCCCUCAGCUUAACUGAGGAAGUGCAUUCGAAACUGACAGUCUUGAGUACAGGAGAGGGUCGCGGAAUUCCCGGUGUAGAGGUGAAAUUCGUAGAUAUCGGGAGGAACACCAGUGGCGAAGGCGGCCUUCUGGACAGCAACUGACGCUGAGACGCGAAAGCGUGGGGAGCAAACAGG